rnacentral:lncRNA from 1 species
UACCUUUCCUUCUUUUUAUCCACUGUAGAUCAAGACAGAUAUUACAAUGCAUCUUUCCAAAUCACCAAUGUCGACUAUAAUCCUCAGUAUGAAAGGCAAACUACAGAGGAGUUCAGGAACCUAAGUGAACAUAUCGAAACCAUGAUGUCUCAAGUAUUCAGGGGGUCCUUUCUAAGUAAAAGAUACAUCAGGUCCCAUGUGGUCAGUCUAAGCCCAGAUCCUGUUGGAGUGCUUGCAUCUGUUGUUCUGGUAUUUAAAUUUCCCUCUGCUGACAGUGAAGCAACGACCCG